GAGGAAUUUUGCGCAAUGGCCGCAAGGCUGACGCAGCAACGCCGCGUGGGUGAUGAAGGCCUUCGGGUCGUAAAGCCCUGUCAGGUGGGAAGAAAGGCCUGGAGAGGAAAGGUUUCAGGUUUGACGGUACCACCAGAGGAAGCACCGGCUAACUCCGUGCCAGCAGCCGCGGUAAUACGGAGGGUGCGAGCGUUAUUCGGAAUUACUGGGCGUAAAGCGCGUGUAGGCGGGGGGACAAGUCUGAUGUGAAAGCCCUGGGCUUAACCUGGGAAGCGCAUUGGAAACUGUUUUUCUUGAGUACUGGAGAGGAAGGGGGAAUUCCCGGUGUAGAGGUGAAAUUCGUAGAGAUCGGGAGGAAUACCAGUGGCGUAGGCGCCCUUCUGGACGGUAACUGACGCUGAGACGCGAAAGCGUGGGGAGCAAAC
rnacentral:rRNA from 1 species